rnacentral:rRNA from 1 species
AUUGAACGCUGGCGGCAGGCCUAACACAUGCAAGUCGAACGCGUGGCGGACGGGUGAGUAAUGUCUGGGAAACCGCCUGAUGGAGGGGGAUAACUACUGGAAACGGUCGAUAACACCGUAUAACAUGGGAAGCGCACAGAUGGGAUUAGAUAGUAGGUGGGGUAAAGGCCAACCUAGGCGACGAGCCCUAGCUGGUCUGAGGGGAUGACCGGCCACACUGGAACUGAGACACGGUCCAGACUCCUACGGGAGGCAGCAGUGGGGAAUAUUGCACAAUGGGCGCAAGCCUGAUGCAGCCAUGCCGCGUGUAUGAAGAAGGCCUUCGGGUUGUAAAGUACUUUCAGCCGGGAGGCGUGACCCGCAGAAGAAGCACCGGCUAACUCCGUGCCAGCAGCCGCGGUAAUAC